AUGAGACAUCAAAACAAAGUUGAACCCCUGUCUCUACUAGAUGUACUUUGUGUGACUCUUGAGAGGAACGUUGGCAUUCGGCACCUGGUGGUCCUAAUGGGUAUAACACAAAAAAAAGUCACUUGCAUCAGUGAUGUUUCUUUAAACUCCAGGGGGAUUUUACACUUUAUAAGUAUAAUAUAUUAUUUUCUUGUUGCCAGUGAAACAAAUGAGUCUUCUAAAGUAUCCUCAGUGGUUGAAAAAAAAGUCACUUGCAUCAGUGAUGUUUCUUUAAACUCCAGGGGGAUUUUACACUUUAUAAGUAUAAUAUAUUAUUUUCUUGUUGCCAGUGAAACAAAUGAGUCUUCUAAAGUAUCCUCAGUGUGGGUGGUGACAAAAUAG
rnacentral:lncRNA from 12 species